GAUCAUGGCUCGGGACGAACGCUGGCGGCGUGCCUAAUACAUGCAAGUCGAGCGAAGUUUUUCUGGUGCUUGCACUAGAAAAACUUAGCGGCGAACGGGUGAGUAACACGUAAAGAACCUGCCUCAUAGACUGGGACAACUAUUGGAAACGAUAGCUAAUACCGGAUAACAGCAUUAACUGCAUGGUUGAUGUUUAAAAGUUGGUUAUGCUAACACUAUGAGAUGGCUUUGCGGUGCAUUAG
rnacentral:rRNA from 1 species